CCUACGUGGGACUGCAGUGGGGAAUAUUGCGCAAUGGGCGCAAGCCUGACGCAGCGACGCCGCGUGAGGGAUGAAGGUCUUCGGAUCGUAAACCUCUGUCAGCAGGGAAGAACGGUCACUGUGCUAAUCAGCAGUGAAUUGACGGUACCUGCAAAGGAAGCACCGGCUAACUCCGUGCCAGCAGCCGCGGUAAUACGGAGGGUGCGAGCGUUAAUCGGAAUUACUGGGCGUAAAGCGCUCGUAGGCGGUAUGUCAAGUCAAGGGUGAAAUCCCCGCGCUCAACGUGGGAACUGCCUUUGAAACUGGCAAACUGGAGUGUGUGAGAGGAUAGUGGAAUUCCAGGUGUAGGAGUGAAAUCCGUAGAUAUCUGGAGGAACAUCAGUGGCGAAGGCGACUAUCUGGCACAUAACUGACGCUGAGGAGCGAAAGCGUGGGUAGCAAACAGGAUUAGAUACCCUGGUAGUC
rnacentral:rRNA from 1 species